rnacentral:rRNA from 1 species
AUGAUAAACACAAAAUACUGCCGAGGUAUAGGCCAGGGACUUGGCAGUAACAAGAUGUGCUACCUGGCUAGGUUGAUUCAUGCCACCAAAGCUCAGGUCACUUUUGUUUCAGAAAUUAAAACCUCCAAAUAUAAGCCGGCUGAUUUAAACCAACGUUUUGAUAUGGCUAAUAGUUUUGUAGUUCCUUCCAAGGGUCGCUCGGGAGGACUCUGGCUGAUGUGGCAUGACGACCUCCAAAUCAAUGUACAUAUUUCUAAUUUCCAUGUUAUCCUAUCUUUAGUAGUUAAUAGAGUAACUAGGGAGGAGUUUGCUCUGGUUUGUAUCUAUGGUGAUCCCUACCACCGCCAAACAGACCAGAUUUGGGACCUUGUGGCAUCUUUUGUGUAUGAUAAUGCCAACAAGCCAAUAGUUUGUAUGGGAGAUCUUAACAAUAUCUUGUAUGAUAUGGACAAAAGUUCUCCCCAUAUGAAUGCUACUCGUAUGUUUGCCUUUCGUAAUCUGGUCAAAACUUGUGGUUUAUUUGACCUUGGCUACAGUGGUCCGGCUUACACUUGGACAAACAAAAGAUAUUCUUCCAAUCCUAUAUAUGAACGACUUGAUAGAUGUUUAGCAAAUGCAGAAUGGUGUGCUCUUUAUCCUGUCACUAAUGUUUAUAAUAUGCCUAUCACUAUUAGUGACCAUGCUCCCAUUCUUGUCUCUACAUAA